CAAACAGUGACCUAUCUGAUGGCUAAGAAGUAGAGAAUAAGCUCUGAGACCUCCCUCUUCUGAAGUGGCAAGUCCUCCAGACCCACUCUCAGCUCCCCCAUCUCCACAAGGGAGACCUGGAGAUGCCCAGCUAUGCCAGUGACUGGAUAGAGCAUCUUCUCUCCAAGUGAUCUGUCCUUGCCUCUCCUAACUGGAAACUUCCGCUGCUCAGUGUCCACUCAGCAUGGAAGCAGCUCACCUCCACGCGUCUCAAUUCCACCUCUCUCUUCUGUCGUUCCUGUCCUCGAGAGCCCCUGCUUCCUGGGGAGCUGCAGAAAAAUCCAGAUUUUCCAAACCCUUGGAGAUGUGAUGGAACCUGGCUGAUGGACACAUGGCUGCCCUGCCAGCUCUCCUCUGAGGACAUUUGCAUCAUGCGGCAGCAGCUGGGCUCUUGAG
ensembl:lncRNA